rnacentral:rRNA from 1 species
GUGAGGAAUUUUCCGCAAUGGGCGAAAGCCUGACGGAGCAAUGCCGCGUGAAGGAUGAAGGCCUAUGGGUUGUAAACUUCUUUUCUCAGAAAAGAAUUAUGACGGUAUCUGAGGAAUAAGCAUCGGCUAACUCUGUGCCAGCAGCCGCGGUAAGACAGAGGAUGCAAGCGUUAUCCGGAAUGAUUGGGCGUAAAGCGUCUGUAGGUUGUUUAAAAAGUAUUCUGUCAAAGAUUAGGGCUUAACCCUAGAUAGGCAGAAUAAACUUUUAAGCUAGAGUGUGGUAGAGGCAGAGGGAAUUCCCGGUGGAGCGGUGAAAUGCGUAGAUAUCGGGAGGAACACCAAAGGCGAAGGCACUCUGCUGGGCCAAUACUAACACUGAGAGACGAAAGCGAGGGGAGCAAAUGGGAUUAGAUACCCGUGUAGUCC